rnacentral:rRNA from 1 species
CCUACGGGAGGCAGCAGUAGGGAAUCUUUCACAAUGGGCGAAAGCCUGAUGGAGCAACGCCGCGUGCAGGAUGAAGGCCUUCGGGUUGUAAACUGCUUUUAUAAGCGAGAAAUAUGAUGGUAACUUAUGAAUAAGGAUCGGCUAACUACGUGCCAGCAGCCGCGGUCAUACGUAGGAUCCGAGCAUUAUCCGGAGUGACUGGGUGUAAAGAGUUGCGUAGGUGGCCUGCCAAGUCUGAUGUGAAAUACCGGGGCUCAACCCCGGGGCUGCAUUGGAAACUGGCAGGCUGGAGUGCCGGAGAGGCAGGCGGAAUGCCUAGUGUAGCGGUGAAAUGCGUAGAUAUUAGGAGGAACACCAGUGGCGAAGGCGGCCUGCUGGACGGUGACUGACGCUGAGGCUCGAAAGCGUGGGGAGCAAACAGGAUUAGAUACCCGAGUAGUC